rnacentral:rRNA from 1 species
GGAUCCAGACUUCCCAUUUUGGCUCAGGACGAACGCUGGCGGCGCGCCUAACACAUGCAAGUCGAACGAGAGAUGAGGAGCUUGCUCUUCAAAUCGAGUGGCGAACGGGUGAGUAACGCGUGAGGAACCUGCCUCAAAGAGGGGGACAACAGUUGGAAACGACUGCUAAUACCGCAUAAGCCCACGGCUCGGCAUCGAGCAGAGGGAAAAGGAGCAAUCCGCUUUGAGAUGGCCUCGCGUCCGAUUAGCUAGUUGGUGAGGUAAUGGCCCACCAAGGCAACGAUCGGUAGCCGGACUGAGAGGUUGAACGGCCACAUUGGGACUGAGACACGGCCCAGACUCCUACGGGAGGCAGCAGUGGGGAAUAUUGCACAAUGGGGGAAACCCUGAUGCAGCGACGCCGCGUGGAGGAAGAAGGUCUUCGGAUUGUAAACUCCUGUUGUUGAGGAAGAUAAUGACGGUACUCUACAAGGAAGUGACGGCUAACUACGUGCCAGCAGCCGCGGUAAAACGUAGGUCACAAGCGUUGUCCGGAAUUACUGGGUGUAAAGGGAGCGCAGGCGGGAGAACAAGUUGGAAGUGAAAUCCAUGGGCUCAACCCAUGAACUGCUUUCAAAACUGUUUUUCUUGAGUAGUGCAGAGGUAGGCGGAAUUCCCGGUGUAGCGGUGGAAUGCGUAGAUAACGGGAGGAACACCAGUGGCGAAGGCGGCCUACUGGGCACCAACUGACGCUGAGGCUCGAAAGUGUGGGUAGCAAACAGGAUUAGAUACCCUGGUAGUCCACACCGU